UAGCUUUGCAAUGUUCAGAUGUGAUCUUUUUCUCAUAGCUAUAUAGAUCAUCAUCUACGAUCUCAUAGCGAUCAUGGAGAGACUCAUAGCAUCUUCUCUCAAUAUACAAAGCAUAAAUAAACUAAAACAACUAUAUUCCUUUAUUUAAUACUCCCUCUCGAGCUUCAUGAUCUGAGUAGACGCUAACUUCUAAGCCUCCGCUUCCUUCAGAGUCUUCUCCCUUCCUGCCAGCUCACCAAUCUCCAAUAAAAAUGCAUCACUCGGAUCAGCCACGUCAAUCAACUCCUCACUCAUAAACUUCUUUACCCGC
rnacentral:lncRNA from 1 species